UGUGAGUUCAUAGAAGAUAUUGUUUGGUCC
rnacentral:piRNA from 1 species